UACGUAGGGGGCGAGCGUUGUCCGGAUUUAUUGGGCGGAAAGAGCUCGUAGGCGGUCUGUUGCGUCUGCCGUGAAAACCCGAGGCUUAACCUCGGGCCUGCGGUGGAUACGGGCAGACUAGAGGUAGGUAGGGGAGAAUGGAAUUCCCGGUGUAGCGGUGAAAUGCGCAGAUAUCGGAAGGAACGCCGGUGGCGAAAGCGAGCUGCUGGAUCCCUCCUGACGCUGAGGCGCGAAAGCGUGGGGAGCAAACAGG
rnacentral:rRNA from 1 species